rnacentral:rRNA from 1 species
GUGAGUAACCUGCCCUUGACUCUGGGAUAAGCGCUGGAAACGGCGUCUAAUACCGGAUACGACCUGCCCCGGCAUCGGGUGUGGGUGGAAAGUUUUUCGGUCAAGGAUGGACUCGCGGCCUAUCAGCUUGUUGGUGAGGUAAUGGCUCACCAAGGCGACGACGGGUAGCCGGCCUGAGAGGGUGACCGGCCACACUGGGACUGAGACACGGCCCAGACUCCUACGGGAGGCAGCAGUGGGGAAUAUUGCACAAUGGGCGAAAGCCUGAUGCAGCAACGCCGCGUGGGGGAUGACGGCCUUCGGGUUGUAAACCUCUUUUAGUAGGGAAGAAGGACUUCGGUUUGACGGUACCUGCAGAAAAAGCACCGGCUAACUACGUGCCAGCAGCCGCGGUAAUACGUAGGGUGCAAGCGUUGUCC